ensembl:lncRNA
CUGGAUAGUGUGAGUGAGAGAGAGCGAGAAAGAGAGAGAGAGAGGGAGAGAAAGGAGUGAGGGUGUGAGUGAGAUGUAGCAGAGAGGUGGAGGUGUCGAUAACUAGGCUGUAAUCGACCUUGUUUAAAGCUGUGUGGUGUGCUGACUGUUUGAACUCCUCUGCUUGUUAUCAGCAGUCGCAGAUUUAAUUAAGGUGGCAGGCAGAUUUAAUGUCAAUUAGGCCCCAAAAUGAGUAUAAAAAGUGUGUUCAAUAAUAACGGAUGUGAGAAAGUCAGAAAAACAGAAACAGACACACAGCUUAAGAAAAUGCAGGAAGUGGGGAAAUAAUAUAAUGGGGGGAAAAAAGGUAAAAAUAUCAUGAUAGAAUAAAAGAAGGAGCAAAUUACAUUUGCCUGAGUUGGUACAGAGAUUGUGUAAAAUAUUGUGCCAUUAAUCUCUCUCUAACACAAUUUCUCUCAUUCUCUCUCUCGCAUGCUUCUCCCUAUGGAUUAUUACCUGCACCUUUUGUCCGAUCUCCGUGUUGCCGUGGGCAAUCAAUUGGAGUAUGCAAAUGCAGUAAUAAAGAAGACUUUCAUAUCAGGUCUGUCUGAAACUGAAGGCAGAUAAAAGAAUAGAUGAAUACCUUGAUGCUUUGCUGCCUGUGCUUUCAUAGGUAUGAACAUACCAAAUGCAGGAGGGAACAUUACAUCACGACUUUAUCGACAGCUAUGUACUGUAGUAACAUUAGAAAUAAUUGCUCAUCAGAUUUGUAAGCAAACUGUAAGUGGGUUAACAUACAUCAUGUUUGCUAGUCGCUAGGCUUGAUGGAAUGAAAUAUUUACAUAAUGGUUGGAAAUAAAUAGAGCACAUAAUCUGUGAUCUCACCAGCUAAAAAAGGGUUAAAAAAAGGGGUUAGGGUUAGGGAAAAUCCAUUUUCAUUCAUUCUUCUUCAUUAACAGCUUUAUCCUACUCAGGGUUGCGAGGCUGUCCCAGGAGCACUGGUGGGAAUACACGCUGGACACUCUGGGCACUGUGCAAACACACAUUUACACACCUAUUUACAUGCUCAUUCACACCUUGGGGCAAUUAAGUGUAGCCAAUUCACCUACAGUACCUGCAUGUUUUUGGGAUGUGGGAGGAAACUGGAGAACCUGGAUGAAAUCAACAAAUUCACAAAGAGAACAUGCAAAACUACACACAGAUGUUAAUCCAAGCUCAGGAUUGAACCAGGGACCUUGAGCUGUGAUGCUGUGCACUGUGCUAAUCUGUGGAAUCAAUUAAAAAUUAUUUAUCAUAUUAUACUGCAUAAACUAUACCUGUACUGUGUCUUCACUACUGUGCUGGUGUAGUACUGUACUGGCUCCUGGGAUCAAUCGGAUAUCAUUAAAAUUCUGUAAUUGAACCAAUUAAAAUGAAUCGUGCCUAUGUUGUUUAGUUUCAUAGAGAAUGUACAAAAUGUACUUAAACCUAACUCCAACCUUCUUAUCUUUUCAUAUGAACUGAGUCUCACACGUUGAUGCAAAUAACAUUUUUGACACACUCAUUUUCAACAUGCACUGCUUUUUGCCAUAUUUUUGUCAAAACAGUGCUGAGACAUGGAGAUGCUUCAACCCAAUAGUGUCCAACCUUAUCUGCUUACCUGAUUUUCCUUGUUUACUCAAUCGAUCUGUUUUCAAAUGAUUGAUUGAUGUUCUUCAGCUUGGUUAGAAUGAAAACCUGGAGUCACACUGGCCCUGUGCACAUAAGCCUGGACACCCAAUAAAUUGCUUUAGCCCUUGGAACUCAGAAGGGAAAUUCAGCACACCUGUCUAGUUUAUUGAUUUUUUUUUUUUCCAGAGGUCAGAAAACCACAAUAAAUGCCACCAUUAUCAUCCAUACACUACAUCAACAUGAUGCACAUGGAAAAGAAACAAUGUAAAAAAUAGAGAAAUAAACAAACCUUAAAUGAGCUAGAGAGUCUACUUGAGUGUCCCAUACAAUAGAUCCAGUCCCACUGCUGGGUUUGUGAGGAUAUAUAUAUUUAUAUAUUUAUAUAAUGAUGUAUUUUAUAUAGUACCGGCAGUACCAUCUGCCACAAGAGAGCUCAGUUUCAGUUUGUAUUGAGCGCUAACUCAGUUCAGAGCCAAGUGUCCGAGGCUCCGUCCGCACUUUGCAGGGGCCGGUUGCUAUGACAACUGGCACAUUCCACCACUUGAACUUUUCUCCUUUUGUUGGCAACACCCACCAGCACGUGACAGCUCAAGUUCAUCCUUUCCUCUCACUCUCCAGUUGAGGCCUAUUGCUGAAUUGAUGUCCACGAACGACAGCUCGCUCGAUGGCAAAAUCUGUUUUUCAGGGAACAGACUGAGCAAAGAACAGAUGCUACAUUGUGUAAAAUAAUUAAGCUGGUUUAGCUUACUUGCUGAAGAUAAAGUCCCACAUAGAUCUCUCUGACCAUUAAAAAUCCCUUUCUUCUGCAUCUGCAUCGGAAUAAUAAACCAUGAGUUUUUUUAUUUUAUAUUUAGGCAAUUAGUGACUUAGCAACACUUUAAGAGCUACAGUAGUAGGAUGAGAAGCUUGUAUGACAGUGAUGUUUAACAAAGCAAUAAUGUAAGGUUAGGCAUUUGGGGCAAACUGUAAUCCAGAUGUGUGGACCAUGUAACAGAUGUGGGUCCAGCUGCUAGGGAGGAAAGGUGAAGAAGCAGGAUUUGAUGGAGAGAGAGAGAGAGAGAGUUCAAUGCUUUUAUUUCCAAAUGUAUGUGUAUACAUAAAACAACAAGAAAGUCUAUGUGAAAGUCUGUGUGAACGUGUAUGGGGUGUAAAAGAAAACAAGUGUGAAUGAGUAUGUCCCAUUACACCUCAGAUUGUGUAGUUACACUGGCAGAGAUUAGCAUGUAGUUAAAUUGGAGAAGUAGUGGAGGAGUUAAACUGGAGGUUAGAGUGUAGUUAAACUGGAGGAGAUUAGAGUGUAGUUAAACUGGAGGAGAUUAGAGUAGUUAAACUGGAGGAGGUUAGAGUGUAGUUAAACUGGAGGAGAUUAGAGUAGUUAAACUGGAG